GACAGAGGGUGCAAACGUUGUUCGGAAUUACUGGGCGUAAAGCGCGUGUAGGCGCCCAGCAAGUCGGAUGUGAAAGCCCUGGGCUUAACCUAGGAAGUGCAUCGAAACUGCUGGGCUUGAGUUCUGGAGAUGGAAGGCGGAAAUUCUCGGUGUAGAGGUGAAAUUCGUAGAUAUCGAGAGGAACACCGGUGGCGAAGGCGGC
rnacentral:rRNA from 1 species